UACGGGGGGGGCAAGCGUUGUUCGGAAUUACUGGGCGUAAAGGGCUCGUAGGCGGCCAACUCAGUCGGACGUGAAAUCCCUCGGCUUAACCGGGGAAUGGCGUCCGAUACUGGAUGGCUUGAGUUUGGGAGAGGGAUGCGGAAUUCCAGGUGUAGCGGUGAAAUGCGUAGAUAUCUGGAGGAACCCCAGAGGCGAAGGCGGCGCCCUGGCUCGCAACUGACGCUCAGACACGACAGCAUGGGGAGCGAACGGG
rnacentral:rRNA from 1 species